UACGAAGGGGGCUAGCGUUGCUCGGAAUCACUGGGCGUAAAGGGUGCGUAGGUGGCGGGGUUAGUCAGGUGUGAAAUCUCGGAGCUCAACUCCGAAACUGCACUUGAUACUGCCUUGCUAGAGUACUGGAGAGGAGAUUGGAAUUUACGGUGUAGCAGUGAAAUGCGUAGAUAUCGUAAGGAAGACCAGUGGCGAAGGCGAAUCUCUGGACAGUUACUGACACUGAGGCACGAAGGCCAGGGGAGCAAACAGG
rnacentral:rRNA from 1 species